rnacentral:misc_RNA from 1 species
AACGCACGAGACCUGCGGACCUGCGGAGGGAUCAUUAUUGAAUAAACUUGAUUUAGGCUGUUGCUGGCUCUUUUGAGCAUGUGCACGUCUAUUUCAAUUUUAUAACCACCUGUGCACAUUGUGUAGAUUUGAAUACAUUUCAGGCUCAGACCUGGUCAGAAGAAUUGCUGCUGAAUAAAAACACUCGGCUUUACUUCAUGUUUUCAGAUCUAUGUUUUAUACUUAUACUCCAUACAAAAA